GCGCUCGGGAAACACCGUGCAGGGGAGCAGAAACUCUACCUUUUACCAGCAGUAUUACUCGCGUAAACAUAUGAAACAUUAAAUACAUAUUUUGUGAAUACGCCUUUUUUUGACAAUGUUUUUUUAUAAUAUCCAUCUCUGUAUCCCUAACAACGUGUUUGCUAAAAUUCUUCAAGAUCGGUUAAGCGAAACAAACCAACAUAUUUGUGGAGCAGACAGUGGCUUGACUGGGCUCCUGGCAUUGCUGAAGUCCAUAAGCCACGACUAAUUACCAUUAAGAGAGCCGUAUCGUCGUCUAUCUACAGUCGCAAUAAAAACACAAACAAACUCACUUAAGCAUUUAAUUUUAAUGUUAAUAUUAAAUAUCUAAAUUGUCAACUCAAUGAAUUGAUUACAUAAGUACACAUAAUUUUAUUUACAGAGCAAAUACAUACAAGCAAGGACGGCGACGUUUCAUUGACGUCAAUUUAAUUGUUUAAAUAAUAUGAGUCGACUAUUAUCAAAGCCGGCAAUGUGACUUUUGGACAAUUAUUGGUAAAUCAGAAAAACGGAUUAUUGACUUUGUAUUUCAUUGGCAGUCACAAAACUCUUCUGAACGACAUCUUAGAUAAAUAACAGAUUGCCACCUUUGAUAAUAGACGAUUCAUAUAAAGGAUUUCAAAAGUCAAUUAACGGAUUGUACUGAAACCACACGGGUUUGUUUAGUGUAUUUGAACUUGUCAAGUGCUCCCGAAGUAAACAAGAUAAGGGCUACACUUCGGGUUACAGUUGAUAAUCAAAAGGGCGCCCUUUGAACCAAUGAAAGGAAACGAAUACCUCACUCAACUUGAAAAGGUCGUGUAGUUUCGAACGGAAAUUGUUACAGCCUUCACAAAUAUUCAAUUACUACAUUGAACUACAUUACAUACGUUCUUGAAGAUUCAAUUGUUAGAGCGACAACUGAGUUGGCGGAAAAUUGAAACUGGGUAUUUGCGUUGCCACCAAACGGACAAUGGUAGAUGUAGAUAUGUAUGUUAAGAACAAGCUUUAUUAUUUAAAACUCUUUAGUUUUUAAAAAGAAAUUUUCUUCAGUGUCAUUGAAUGAAGUCUGUAAUUCAUUAAAAAGAGAGUUGAAUUUUUAAUAUUAAUUUUUAAAAGAGUAUAAUGGCUUUAAAAGUUAUUUUUUUUUAUUAUAUCACAGAAAACACAAUUAAGUGUUUUAUUCAUUUUGAAAUACUCCAUAUCAUUAUAUGUAUAUUCACGUUGAAACAGCUUGUUCUAAAAACAGCUCGUAAAGCUAGAGAUAUAUUUGACAAGAGUACUUAUUUCCUGACUUUUAUGACACUCGAUAAAGCAGAGUUGAUGUCCCUCAAAAAUACUAUAUUGGGAAUUUGAAAACAUUUUGUCGAAAAUGAUAUAUUUAACCACAACAACACCGCGAAACAGAAGGUAAAACUAGUUUGAAACGAAAUUAUAACCCAGGUAUGAAGAGAGAAUCAAAGAUUCAAACAUUCUUCCAGAGGCGCAAUAAAACCGUCACGUACCUCUACUAUUGACGCGGCAGUUUCACAACUAAAAAUCUUCGUCAAGAAACUCACUAAUAUUUUCCUAAUAUGACGUAUAAUAUGUUAUUUUUUUUAUUGCUUAGAUGGUGGACAAGCUCACAGCCCACCUGGUGUUAAGUGGUUACUGGAGCCCAAAGACAUCCACAACGUAAAUGCGCCACCCACCUUGAGAAUAAGUUCUAAGGUCUCAAGUAUAGUUACAACGGCUGCCCCACCCUUCAAACCGGAACGCAUUACUGCUUCACGGCAGAAAUAGACAGAGUGGUGGCACCCACCCGCGCGGACUCACAAGAGGUCCUACCACCAGUAAACAAGAGGUCCU